UACGUAGGGUGCGAGCGUUGUCCGGAAUUAUUGGGCGUAAAGCGCGUGUAGGCGGCUUGGUAAGUCGGGUGUGAAAUCCCUCAGCUCAACUGGGGAACUGCGUCUGAGACUGGUCAGCUUGAGUGCAGGAGAGGAACGCGGAAUUCCAGGUGUAGCGGUGAAAUGCGUAGAUAUCUGGAGGAACACCGGUGGCGAAGGCGGCGUUCUGGACUGCAACUGACACUGAGGAACGAAAGCCAGGGGAGCAAACGGG
rnacentral:rRNA from 1 species